UACGUAGGGACCGAGCGUUGUCCGGAAUCAUUGGGCGUAAAGGGCGCGUAGGCGGCUAGAUGUGUCAAAGGUGAAAUCCCUCGGCUCAACUGAGGAACUGCCUUUGAAACUGUCUGGCUUGAGGCCGGGAGAGGGUAGCGGAAUUCCCAGUGUAGCGGUGAAAUGCGUAGAUAUUCGCAAGAACACCAGUGGCGAAGGCGGCUCACUGGCCCGUUACUGACGCUGAGGCACGAAAGCGUGGGGAGCAAACAGG
rnacentral:rRNA from 1 species